AUUGGAUGAGAAUUAGUUUUAUAAAAAUUAAUUAUGCAUAUUCUAGAGUGCACUUCCGGAAAGGUUCAUUGCACUGUUUUACCGUUACGCUAUUAUAAAAUGUUAUUCAGUAAUUUACAUGUGAGGGGUGGAGAAAACUGAAUGACAGUUGUAAUUAUUGAAAUAGAUCAUUUACACUGGAGUAGGUCUAGGUCUAGUAGCUCUGGAGGGAUGGUCAUUAAGCUUUCUGUAUUCAGUUUCCUGCACACUAAAAGUUCUUAUUGCUUUAUUAAAACUUAUGCUUUACAGAAAAUUUAAUUUCAAGCUAUUUGUUGAUGAUGUAGCCGAUGUUAUCACUCGUCUCUUACAGUAUUGUCGAUGCUAUUUACCACAACAGCUGCUAUUGUGAUGUAGAGAUGGAUGCUGGUGACAGGCGGAAAUCCCUUUACUUCCAACCAAUGAAGAGAUGACCUUUCUCUAUGGAGUUCGAGAGUCGUUGCUUAGCAACCUCCUCUGGCAGAUGUUGCAUAUUCUGUGAAGACAAAGAACAGCGAGUACAGAGUAAGAGCGAAUUUGACCUUUGAUCCUUAGAUAUUUUGACCUCUGUCACUCAACCUCACUCUCUCAAGGUAUCUGCUUUAUUUUAACAUAUAUUUGCUUAUCUUUAGGAGAAUAAUCACAAUUACAGGGCAUGGGUGGCCAGAUGUUGUAGCCUAUAGUUUCAGUCACUUUAACCUGUCUUCCAAUGUACUGUCCUUAUCACUGAUGGAAUAAUGAUGUCAAUACUGACAGGAAACUAAUAACAAAACAGCAGAUGGUGUCUCUACAGCUAGGUCGAUUUUUUUCUCUUAGAAGUUUCCGAAUUACCAUUGCGCGUGGAGGAAGUCCUUCUUCACGUGGCUUGAAAUUUUUCGGGAUUUAAGUGAAAUCCUUUAAAAAAUGUAAAAAAAGUCAUUGGCACACUGACCCAUAGCGGUCGAUGACCCUAGGGCAUUGGAGAUGGAGUUGGCCCGGGGGCGUUAAGGGGAGGUCACAUGACAUGCGUGGGCUCGCUGUGAACCCUUUGUUGUGGCAAAGACCGGUGAGUGGAGAUACUGAGUGGACCUUGGUCAGUAGAGACGGAUUCGUUCACCAAGAAUGAUGGAAAACUUAAAAUUAUGUCAACUGUCAAGAAUCAACGUUACAUGAUUUGCAAUAUUUAAAGAAUGGAAGAACAACAAUUAGCCAAUCCACCUUGUAAUGGAACGGAGGCACUAAAUUUAUCACCCGAAACAUCAACUCCAAAUAAAUAUUCUCCAUAUUCUUCCCCAGAAGGAACGAGUUCGACAUUCGUAUGGGCCACAUCAACGACGUCGAAUGCCGUCAUUAAUGGUCACGAUAGUUUACACAGCAACUCUCCAUCACUAGAAGAUGACAUUCAAAGAUGGCAAGAUAUUCAUACUACACCCGACGGCGAAGUCACUUACAAAUGCGAGGAAUGUGGCUUUCAAAGCGCUUCUAAAUUCCACUAUAAUUCUCAUUUAAAUACUCAUGCAGAACAUAAAUGUUCGUUUUGUGAUUACACUUCGCGAACCGAAGGUAGAUUGAAAAGACACGUUAGAGAAUUUCAUGUUGGUCUGGAUUCGUCGAAGUGUAGUGAAAAAGAAUCGGAAGACGGAGAUUCUGGCCUAGCUUCUUCGAAUUCUAGCAAAAAAGCUAGAAACUAUCGUUGCAAACAGUGUGAUUUCGUCGCUGUUAGUAAAGCAGAUUUCUGGCAACAUAAUCGAACGCACAUAAAAGAAGAGAAACUCUUGACUUGCCCUAAUUGUCCUUUCGUCACUGAAUAUAAACAUCACUUAGAGUACCAUCUACGUAAUCACGCAGGAUCCAAACCUUUCAAAUGUAACAAAUGCAACUAUACUUGUGUCAACAAAUCAAUGCUCAAUAGUCACAUGAAAUCGCAUUCCAAUAUUUAUCAAUAUCACUGUGCUAGUUGCAGUUAUGCAACUAAGUAUUGUCAUAGUUUAAAACUUCAUUUGAGAAAGUACAAACAUACGACUGCAAAUGUUUUGAACCCGGAUGGUACUCCUGCAGAAUCUACAGUAGAUGUAUACGGUAAUCGAAGAGGAACUAAAAAGAAGAAAAAAUCUGGUUCGAAUCAAGAAGAAAAUGGCAACGGAGAAAUUAUUUCUCAAUCGAAUUCGAAUUCGCAUACUGAAUUACUCGUUCCUUCAGUGGGAUAUUAUUCUUUCCCAACGAUUCCUUCGUCUCAGGUAUGUUUACCGUUUACCAAUAACAUGAAUGGUUUAGCCAAUUCACAUUGUUUAAAUCGAACCGGUGUGGAUUCCUCUCAAACGACUGAAGUUGAACGUUUUCUUAAACCAACCAUUUCAAUUCAGCCGUAUAAGUGCAAUCUUUGCGAAUUCUCUUCGGAUUACAAAGAUGCUUUCAACAGACACAUGGUAUUUCAUGCUACAAGAGAAAACGAGGAUCUGUGCAGAAUUUAUGGUAUCAAUCCCGAAACCCUCUUUCUGUACGAAUCAAAUCAUCCCCUUUACUCUCUUUAUACGAAAAAUGGUUAUCUGUCUGCACCUGCAGAUAGAGAAAAGUUAAAUACGGACUAUUCAACUCCAAACGGAACCAGACCUAAUUCUCCAGAAGAAUAUAAACUUUCAUUCAACUCGCUACCUUCUCCUAAAGAUUUCGUUUCAGAAGAAGAAAAGACAGUACCUACGACUACUGAAAAUAUUGAAAAUUCUGAAAAUCACACAAACGGAAAUGUCGAUUCUUCAUUACCUUUAGAUCUCAGCAAUUGUAAAACCAGUCCAAAGAAUAAUAAAGCCGAUUCAUCUCAAGAAUUUUCUCGCAAUCGCCGUAAAGGAAAGGCGUUCAAAAUAGAGAGGAUUUACAUGAAAAUUGAUCACGAAGACAACAAAGACGAUCACGAAGAAGAGAAUUUAAAUAUGAGCAAUUUGCAAACGCACAAAACUAAUGGACAAUAUACGAGAUCUAACGAAGAGAAACAAAAUUCUGGUCCCGACAAAAAUGACGGAAAACUUAACAGUUACUUCAAUUGCAUACAUUGUGAUUUACUUUUCAAAGAUUGUGCCAUGUAUUCCAUACAUAUGGGAUAUCACGAUUAUAAUCAUCCAUUCAAAUGUAACGUCUGCGGUAUUCGCUUCAAUGAUAAGUUAUCAUUUUUCAUUCAUAUCGCACGAGUGGCACACGAUUGACUGGAAAUGGUGACUAAGAAAAAAAGGAGUGUGCAUUACAUCUGUGAUCUUUCUUUCUUCCAUAUGUAAUUCUCAGACGUCAGUACUAGACGACAGGAACUCCGUAAUGCGCGCGCGCCCUCUAUACGAUAAUGACAGUAAUGGCCGAUGGUGGAAGCGGAUGUAGCGCAAAAUGUCACAUCUGAUAUCUGCCGAUAUCGUUUGCGCUGUCGGAAUA
rnacentral:misc_RNA from 1 species